rnacentral:rRNA from 1 species
CUGCAGUCGACGCGACGUCUCCUCGCUUGCGAGGGGGUUGGUUGAGUGGCGAACGGGUGAGUAACACGUGAGUAACCUGCCCCUGACUCUGGGAUAAGCCUGGGAAACUGGGUCUAAUACCGGAUACGACCAUCGUGGGCAUCCAUGGUGGUGGAAAGUAUUGUGUCGGUUGGGGAUGGGCUCGCGGCCUAUCAGCUUGAUGGUGGGGUGAUGGCCUACCAUGGCGACGACGGGUAGCCGGCCUGAGAGGGCGACCGGCCACACUGGGACUGAAACACGGCCCAGACUCCUACGGGAGGCAGCAGUGGGGAAUAUUGCACAAUGGGGGGAACCCUGAUGCAGCGACGCCGCGUGCGGGAUGACGGCCUUCGGGUUGUAAACCGCUUUCACCAGGGGAGAAGCCCUUUUGGGGUGACGGUACCUGGGGAAGAAGUACCGGCUAACUACGUGCCAGCAGCCGCGGUAAUACGUAGGGUACGAGCGUUGUCCGGAAUUAUUGGGCGUAAAGAGCUCGUAGGUGGUUGGUCGCGUCUGCUGUGGAAACGCAACGCUUAACGUUGCGCGUGCAGUGGGUACGGGCUGACUAGAGUGCAGUAGGGGAGUCUGGAAUUCCUGGUGUAGCGGUGAAAUGCGCAGAUAUCAGGAGGAACACCGGUGGCGAAGGCGGGACUCUGGGCUGUGACUGACACUGAGGAGCGAAAGCAUGGGGAGCGAACAGGAUUAGAUACCCUGGUAGUCCAUGCCGUACACGUUGGGCACUAGGUGUGGGGGGCAUUCCACGUUCUCCGCGCCGUAGCUAACGCAUUAAGUGCCCCGCCUGGGGAGUACGGCCGCAAGGCUAAAACUCAAAGGAAUUGACGGGGGCCCGCACAAGCGGCGGAGCAUGCGGAUUAUUUCGAUGCACGCGAAGAACCUUACCAAGGCUUGACAUCCACUGCACACGCUUGUAACAGGUGCUCCCUUUGGCGCUGGUGACCAGGUGAUGCAUGGCUGAUCGUCAGCUCGUGUCGUGAGAAUGUUGGGAUAAGUCCUGCAACGAGCGCAACCCCUCGUUCUAUGUUGCCUAGCACGGUGAUGGUGGGAACUCAUAGGAAACUGCCCGGGUCCACUUCGGAAGGAAGGUGGGGAAUGACGUCAAAUCAUCAUGCCCUUGAUGUUUUGGGCUUCCCGCCUGCUACAAUGGCCGGGACAGUGAGAGGGGAGCCUGUGAGGGUGAGCGAAUCCCUGAAAACCGGUUUCAGUUUGGAUCGUAGUUUGCAAUUUGACUUCGUGAAGUUGGAGUCGAUUGUAAUUGCAGAUCAGCAACGCUGCGGGGAAUACGUUCCCGGGCCUUGUACACCCCCCCCGUCCAGUCCCGAAAGUCGGUAAC